UGACCCGAGGAACCCGCCACUUUCGAAUUGCGAGACAUUUUUGGGACACCUUGUAUAUAUCCCCGCCAACGGGGGAAUCCUCUUCGCGACCCGGUGAAGCGUUAAACGGGCGCGACGGCCGAGCCAGCGAAGUGUCACGAAGAAGAAUCGAAGGUUCAAGGACUCGCCCAACACGCCUUCGGCGACACUAAUUACCGCGGUCACGCCCGAUGCCGCGACGGUUUCGGGUCGCGUCUAAUACGAAGCUUCUCAUUAAGUCAGCGCGUGGAAGACGACAUCGUGCGACUGGCAGCAUGAGAGGACGUCGACGGCUCGCCGACGAAAAACUUCCUCGAUUUAUUUGGCUUUUGUUUGCAGCGAACGUUCGUGCGAACGACGACGCGUGUCACAACGCGGCGCCCAGGAUAUUGACCCAGUUUUCCUGGUGCGCCGGGCACCACCACCGUGUGCCACCCAUGAAUGUGUCAUACGAUCAUUUCGAGCUGAUGCGCCCGCAGCCCCUCCGGAGAGCAUGAAUUUUUUAAAUCGGCCGGCCGCCGCGACUCCGCCGCCGCCUUUUUCGUGACUCGAAAUGCGGGCCUCGCCCGGGCUCCCGCGAUCGCACCGCCGCGAAAGGAACACCGUUUUAUCGUUGGAACUUCGAUAAAACGAUCGGUUCGAAUAUUUAGCGAAGCGGGGCUCGCGCGAUUUUCGUGAAAAGAAACGGAAGAGAAAUAACGAAUAAUGUGGCUAGAAGUCUGCGAUGGGUUGAACAUUAUUUAUGUAAAUGUUCAUUUUUAGUGAUUGUUUGGAGGAAAAAUUGCUGUACGGAAUUUUAAAGCAAAGCCAAGGAUUAUUAUUUAUCUGAAUAAAAUGUGUAAAAUGAUGAAAUUGAUUUCUUAUUUAUAAAUAGAAUUUUAAUUGUUUAUUAAUUAUCGUUUAAUUGCUUAUUAUAUUUCACAAGUUCUUCGAUAAUAAUGAAUGGACGUUGAUAUUUAUUACGCGAUAAACAAAAAAGAGAAUUACUUAUCGUCUGCUUUUCAACUAAAUUGUAACAAUAAAUAACCAUUCACUUGCAAAAUUAA